rnacentral:snoRNA from 2 species
AAACCAUGAUGGGGACAAAGUAUAAGAAUUUCCUUGAAACACUCCCACGUAUCAUAAAGAGAUUUCCCAUCUGAU